AAGACUAUAGACCUGCGGAGUACCUGCGGAAGGAUCAUUACCAGGUCCCCGCAUCAGUAGCGGACCUCCCACCCCCUGUGAUUGAUAUAGUCGUUGUCUCUAGUGGACUCGGGCUGGCCUACCCGGCUUCAUCCCUAGAGGCUCACACCCUGCCAUACGAGGUCGUCAGAGUUCCUAGAAACGCGAAAACUUUUAGCAAUGGAUCUCU
rnacentral:misc_RNA from 1 species